GACGAACGCUGGCGGCGUGCCUAACACAUGCAAGUCGAACGGGUCUAGAUGUUAGACCAUAGACAUUAGACAUUAGACAACAAAAGAUAACCUGAUUGAAGAAACGGAAGCUUAAGCUUGAAAAAGCAGAACGGCUUGGAAGAAACGAAGCAGGUAAAUCUUAAGAAGUCUAACAUCUAAUAUCUAGCGUCUAAUAUCUAGACUAGUGGCGGACGGGUGAGUAACGCGUGAGCAACCUGCCUAACAGAGGGGGAUAACGUAUGGAAACGUACGCUAAUACCGCAUAACAUAUGUUUGUCGCAUGGCAGACAUAUCAAAGGAGCAAUCCGCUGAUAGAUGGGCUCGCGUCCGAUUAGAUAGUUGGUGGGUAAAGGCCUACCAAGUCAGCGAUCGGUAGCCGGACUGAGAGGUUGAACGGCCACAUUGGGACUGAGACACGGCCCAGACUCCUACGGGAGGCAGCAGUGGGGAUAUUGCACAAUGGGCG
rnacentral:rRNA from 1 species